CGGGAAUUAGCUCAGCUUGGUAGAGCACUUGGUUUGGGACCAAGGAGUCGUAGGUUCGAAUCCUAUAUUCCCGA
rnacentral:tRNA from 5 species